GUCCUACGGGACAUUCAAUAAAAUUGAAACAAUACAGAGAAGAUUAACAUGACCCAAAAAUGGGAGAUAUGGACAAACUACACAUUUCAUCUGCCUUU